GAUGAAGAACGUAGUGAAAUGCGAUAAGUAAUGUGAAUUGCAGAAUUCAGUGAAUCAUCGAAUCUUUGAACGCACAUUGCGCCCGUCAGUAUUCUGGCGGGCAUGCCUGUUCGAGCGUCAUUACGCCCCUCAAGUCCCCUGUGGACUUGGUGUUGGGGAUCGGCGAGGCUGGUUUUCCAGCACAGCCGUCCCUUAAAUUAAUUGGCGGUCUCACCGUGGCCCUCCUCUGCGCAGUAGUAAAACACUCGCAACAGGAGCCCGGCGCGGUCCACUGCCGUAAAACCCCCCAACUUUUUAUAGUUGACCUCGAAUCAGGUAGGACUACCCGCUGAACUUAAGCAUAUCAAUAAGCGGAGGA
rnacentral:misc_RNA from 1 species